rnacentral:rRNA from 1 species
UACGUAGGUGGCAAGCGUUUGUUCGGAAUUAUUGGGCGUAAAGGGCGCGUAGGCGGUUUGUUAAGUCGGCUGUGAAAGCCCGGGGCUCAACCCCGGGAGGCGGAUGGAUACUGUCAGGCUCGAGUCCGGAAGAGGCAAGUGGAAUUCCCGGUGUAGCGGUGAAAUGCGCAGAUAUCGGGAGGAACACCAAUGGCGAAGGCAGCUGCUGGGACGGUACUGACGCUGAGACGCGAAAGCGUGGGAGCAAC